rnacentral:misc_RNA from 1 species
GCAUUGGUCUUUCUCUCUGACCCGCCAUUGUCUUGCCACAUCAGCAGUGAUUUCGCGAACGUAUUAUUUCAACUUAUUCUGAUGAGUAUCCCAGAUGUAUGUCUACGCAAAGUUUGAUUCUGUGAAUUGGUGAAAACAGAGGCGGCUGAUUUCACAAAAUCAAAGAUUUAGCAGCCCAAAAUAUAUGCAGGACGCAAUAAUUCUCCAUAAAACCUUAGCGGAUUUGGAUCUUGAAAUAACAAAGGCUGGGAGAAUGAAGUGUCCACCUGCUAAAUUUUGUCUGUCUGCAUCUGAAUUAAGCAGCAGUGAGGUAGAGAUCACAGCCACCGCUACAACUUCGUAUCAAAACAGAGAUAUGUCUAGUAUACUGCAAAAAAACUGGAAAGUCAUCCUUACAACAAGACUACAGGUUGACUACUAAGCUUCUGCUUACUACUACUAAACGCGCGAGAAUGUCUUAAGGGUGGAAAGAGAGAAAAAAUACCGAACCGAAUCAAUGCGUUUGGCGCCACUAUGAUGUACAACUAUACCGGCAGGCCUUAAGGUCAGAGAACUUACAUCUGGUCAAGAAAAGAGUAUCCGAUUCGUCAAGUGUAUAAUUCGUGGAAGUCUCCAUCAUCGAAAAAGAGAAAGCCUAGAUCAACAAAUUACCGUCAUGAGAAAAAAAAAAGAGAAGAUAUAGUACGUGUAAGUAAAUAACCAUACAAUAGGAUUUUGCUAUCUCAUAGAGGAAGCUCUGUGAUAGGGUCGAAAACGAGAUUUUGAACCAGACCUCGUAGGACAAUUUGGUUUACAUAUUUGUAAACUAGAUUGAAUUCUCAAGAAAUGUCCGCAUGUAUGUAUGUGUGUGUGUGUGCGCGUAUGUCCGAGGCAAAAUCUUGAAAAUGUUACGGUGGAUUGUAUUAAUUUCAAUGGUAUUCAUUGUCGUUUGUAGUAUUAAUUAGGCCAGAAAAGUUUUUUGGCAAUACACGAGAAAAAAAAAUUUUUUUUCGAUUUUUCGAAAUUUUUUUCGUAAAUUUGAAAAAAAAUUGUUCUUCUUUUUUCACGUAAAAAUGCCGGAAUUUUUAUAAGGGAAUUUUUUUGUUGUCACCAUGAAAGCAGCCAAGCUUUAAUUUAAGACCAAAAAGAUAGGCAUUCACCUAAUAUUAUGAAAAUUAACGACUCGAAUUAAAAUUUUUUUUAUGUAAAUUUGAAAAAAAAAAUUUUUUUAUUUCACGGAUAAAUGCCGGAAUUUUCACUACUUUUGUUAUCAUCAUGAAAGCAGAGCAGUCAAGCUUUAAUUUAAGAACAAAAAUUGAAGACCAAGUAAAAUUCUA